rnacentral:rRNA from 1 species
UACGUAGGGUCCGAGCGUUGUCCGGAAUUACUGGGCGUAAAGAGCUCGUAGGUGGUUUGUCGCGUUGUUCGUGAAAACUCACAGCUCAACUGUGGGCGUGCGGGCGAUACGGGCAGACUAGAGUACUGCAGGGGAGACUGGAAUUCCUGGUGUAGCGGUGAAAUGCGCAGAUAUCGGGAGGAACACCAAUGGCGAAGGCAGCUUGCUAGUGCUCUACUGACGGUCAAUCACUAAAGCGUGGGGAUCAAAAAG